rnacentral:snoRNA from 1 species
UAACCAUGGUGAGGACAGAGGGCUUGCAAUUCUUUGUACCUUUCCCAUACUUGUUGUAAAGUUUUACUCCCCUAUUGAGUAAAAGAAGAUAUUUGCUAUUUCAAUGC